UACGUAGGGUGCUAGCGUUGCCCGGAAUUACUGGGCGUAAAGCGCACGUAGGCGGAUUGUUAAGUCAGUGGUGAAAUCCUGGAGCUCAACUCCAGAACUGCCCUUGAUACUGGCGAUCUCGAGUCCGGGAGAGGUGAGUGGAACUGCGAGUGUAGAGGUGAAAUUCGUAGAUAUUCGCAAGAACACCAGUGGCGAAGGCGGCUCACUGGCCCGGUACUGACGCUGAGGUGCGAAAGCGUGGGGAGCAAACAGG
rnacentral:rRNA from 1 species